rnacentral:rRNA from 1 species
GAUGAACGCUGGCGGCGUGCCUAAUACAUGCAAGUCGAGCGAACGGACGAGAAGCUUGCUUCUCUGAUGUUAGCGGCGGACGGGUGAGUAACACGUGGAUAACCUACCUAUAAGACUGGGAUAACUUCGGGAAACCGGAGCUAAUACCGGAUAAUAUUUUGAACCGCAUGGUUCAAAAGUGAAAGACGGUCUUGCUGUCACUUAUAGAUGGAUCCGCGCUGCAUUAGCUAGUUGGUAAGGUAACGGCUUACCAAGGCAACGAUGCAUAGCCGACCUGAGAGGGUGAUCGGCCACACUGGAACUGAGACACGGUCCAGACUCCUACGGGAGGCAGCAGUAGGGAAUCUUCCGCAAUGGGCGAAAGCCUGACGGAGCAACGCCGCGUGAGUGAUGAAGGUCUUCGGAUCGUAAAACUCUGUUAUUAGGGAAGAACAUAUGUGUAAGUAACUGUGCACAUCUUGACGGUACCUAAUCAGAAAGCCACGGCUAACUACGUGCCAGCAGCCGCGGUAAUACGUAGGUGGCAAGCGUUAUCCGGAAUUAUUGGGCGUAAAGCGCGCGUAGGCGGUUUUUUAAGUCUGAUGUGAAAGCCCACGGCUCAACCGUGGAGGGUCAUUGGAAACUGGAAAACUUGAGUGCAGAAGAGGAAAGUGGAAUUCCAUGUGUAGCGGUGAAAUGCGCAGAGAUAUGGAGGAACACCAGUGGCGAAGGCGACUUUCUGGUCUGUAACUGACGCUGAUGUGCGAAAGCGUGGGGAUCAAACAGGAUUAGAUACCCUGGUAGUCCACGCCGUAAACGAUGAGUGCUAAGUGUUAGGGGGUUUCCGCCCCUUAGUGCUGCAGCUAACGCAUUAAGCACUCCGCCUGGGGAGUACGACCGCAAGGUUGAAACUCAAAGGAAUUGACAGGGACCCGCACAAGCGGUGGAGCAUGUGGUUUAAUUCGAAGCAACGCGAAGAACCUUACCAAAUCUUGACAUCCUUUGACAACUCUAGAGAUAGAGCCUUCCCCUUCGGGGGACAAAGUGACAGGUGGUGCAUGGUUGUCGUCAGCUCGUGUCGUGAGAUGUUGGGUUAAGUCCCGCAACGAGCGCAACCCUUGUCUUAUGUUGCCAGCGUUUGGUUGGGGACUCAUGAGAGACUGCCGGGGUCAACUCGGAGGAAGGUGGGGAUGACGUCAAAUCAUCAUGCCCCUUAUGUCCAGGGCUUCACACAUGCUACAAUGGUCGGUACAACGCGCAGCGACACUGUGAGGUGGAGCGAAUCGCUGAAAGCCGGCCUUAGUUCGGAUUGGGGUCUGCAACUCGACCCCAUGAAGUCGGAGUCGCUAGUAAUCGCAGAUCAGCAACGCUGCGGUGAAUACGUUCCCGGGCCU